CCAGGAGGGCAGGGACUGUGGUGUCUGUCUUAUUCACUGUUAUGUCCCCACUGCCCAUCCCAGCGUCUGGUUAAUGACUGAUGCUCAACAACCUUCGGUAGGUGAAGGAAUCUGAUUUACGUGAAAAGCCUUCGGGCAGAUGGCUUUUCUAGACUCUGCUCUCUGCCCAUUUGGGGAGCUCUGUCUGAAACAGGAUGGAAUUUCUCCUAGGCCCAGAGGCCCAUGGUAUGCUACGACAGCGGCUCCCUCCUGUCCUUCUCUUGCCUGCGCCAUACGCCGGUCUUCAUCCCGCAUCCCUCAGGCUUUGGCCAGUCUCUCCAUUUUGGACAGGGCACACUCUGGCACGGCUGCAUCAGUCUGUGAGAUCCUGCUUCUGGGCCACAAGCAUUCUUUCUGCCUGUCCCAACUGUUCCCCAGGUGAAUCACCGGGCACAUCCUGCCUUCCAGAUCUUUCUACACGACACCGCUGUCCUCCAAAGAAGCCCAAAUCAUCAGUUCCCGGGAAGGUUCGCCCUCCUCCCCAACACGCAGCGUGAAGCUUGCCAUCGGCAGGCUGUCCUCGGGCAGACACUGCUCGCCCCUGACUCACGCGCACUUCCAGCCGAGAGCCUCCGCAUGCUGGUGUCUUAAGAUGUGCAAGACCCGGGACGUCAAAAUCCAAAUAACCAGCCGUUCGUCUCCUCAUCUUCUCUUUCAACUGUGCCCACGGCCGCAGAAGCAGGUGGGGAACCCGCCCCCCGCCCCUGCCCGUUUCCUUCAGCGUCGGGCCUGGGGCCCCACAGUCUCCCGAUGGUGCCGCGUGGACCAGGGGCCGCCCGGGCGAUAAAGCAGCAGGGGGACGGGCGGGGGGGCGGGGGGGCGCUGGCGGCUCCAGGUGACGCUCAGGGGACACAGCACACCUCCCCUGGCCAUGUCAGGUCCAGUCGCCGGGCCACGCCCUCUGCCUGGGAGCACCCCACCCCCUGACUCAUCACCUCUCUCCCAGAGCUUCCUGUGCCCUGUUUCUGGAAGUUGUGCUUUCUCCCUGGGCCUCCCGCAUCUCCAGCCGCGAGUGCCCUCCUGUUCUCCUUCCUCUGUGGAGCCUUCCCCGCUGACUCGGGUUUUGGCUCCUCACACCCUCAGGUUGUUCCGUGAGCGUGUGUGACCCGGGGCCGCUCUCUGCGGGAGGCGAGGUUCUCCACACCGGGAGCCUCAGGGAGCAGCUAGGCUUCCUUCUCCCUUCCACGUCACAGCCUGCUGCUUUCUUUGACCCUAUCCUGGGUCUGGAGGUAUCAGUCUUCGACUGCCUGCUCCCUCUGCUCCACUGGCUUGUAGCACUGGUCCCAUUUACAAAGGGAAGACUGAGGCCAGGGCCGUCUCUGCCCGGUGCAUCCCCAUGAGCCCAGCGCCAAGCGCAGCCCCUGCACAUUGCAGGGCCUCCAGAUCUGUUGGAUGAACGAAUGAAUGAUUUCUGGGAACUCUUCAGCCUCUCUGAGAAGCCGAAACUGGCCCUGAACUGGUUUGUCUUCUCUUUGGACCUGGUGACCCGUGACAUUUGCCGCUCCCCUCCGACCGGAAGAUGCGCACGGGUCGGCAUCCGUCCUUGAAGCCGUCGUCAGGGUGUCUCGAGUAGGAAUGCAAGGCCAAGCGGGAUUCAACCCUCCGUGACGGAUGGGUCAGUAUCUCAGAUGGUGACCAAGCCUCCGCUCCGAGAGGACCGCUGAGUAAGGAGCAGCGCCCUACGGGGCAGAAAUGCAGAAGAGAAGACGAACGCCCAGCCAGCAGCCUGGGGAACCCGCCGGCAUCAGAGGCGUCCAGGCUGAGGGUGGUCUCAGCGGGCGCUCUCCUGGCCCCCAGGUUCAGGCACUAAGUCGCUCCACCUCAACUCUCUGUUCCUGGUUCUCCUGCCCUUUGCACGUCCAUCCCUCUGUCUGGAAGCCAAACACAUCGAGGGCGCCCCCAGGCUGCCCGUCAGGAAGGUGCAGAAGCCCUGCCUGGGGCGGUGGGUCCGUAACCACCCCGCUCCCACCCACAGACAGUAUAAAAGCGAAAUGAAACAGAAGAGCAUUCUACUCUGACCCUUUCUUUUUCAACUCAACUGCUGGGCACAUGGGGUUUUGCACUUUAGGGCCGAAUGAGGGUGACUUCAGCCAAAUCCGGGCUGUUUCUGAAGAAAUGUGAAUAAAUGCAAAAGGCCCUGACUCGAGAGAGCGGCGCUGUCUAGCUGCCCCAGGCAAACGUAAAGAGCCGGACAGGUUUACGCAGCCGGAGCGGUGCCUCGAGGCGGGGGCCCCAGGGUGCGCCCCUAAAGGCUCGCCAGGCCCGAGCCAGCCAGGCCCACGAUGAAGACGCUCCAUCCUGCAAGUCCUGAUUAGGGCUUCUGCGAAACUGUCUUCCAGGACUGUAAUCCCACACCCGCCCUGGGCGGCCCCCGAGACACGGCUGUCCGUCACCGGGAUGGGUACGUGCGCGGCCGGCACGUGGCGGCUCUGAAGCCCAUUCUUUACGUCGCGCCUCGUCUUUCCAUUUCUAAAGGGCGCUCUCCUGGGCAGAGGGCGCAGCCCAUCACAUGUCAGGGCGGAGGAGAGGGAGCCGCUCCUCGGGGGACCCCAGCCCGCUCUCCUCAGGGUAACUGGUGCCCCUUGGGAAGCCUGUGUUCUGCCUCUGCGGAGCGGGUCUCCGUGAGAAGCCGGGCUGCGCGUCACCGCACUGAGCCCCAGAGAGACAGGACGAGUUUAAGAGGGUGUGCAUGUCUGAACUUCACGCUGAAUCAAAAUCCUUUUCCUCCAAAGUCUGAUGUCGUUGGUGGGUGAAGGGACAAGGCCAGCGAGGGGUGAGGGGGCCUGAUCCUGCACGUGGAGAGGGUGGAGGGAGGAGGGCUCGUUGAAGUUACAGCGCGCUGCGGCAGAGGAUGGGGGGCCAGUGUAGCUUUUUGCCUCCUGGGGUCUCCAGCUACCCCUCUCUCACCACCCUGCCCCGCCCCAGCCCAGCCUGAACUGCCCUGGCCCCUCUUCUCGGCCCCAGGGCUCCCCAGGUCACAGACAGACGGCCAGGCAGACCAGAGCCUGGCCCUGGGUCGGGGCAGGGAAGCCAGGACGCGCUCCAAUCUGCCGCCGCUCAGACUAGCGCUUGGAGAGGCUCGAGUUCAGGAGCUGAGCAAAAAUAAACACGGGCUAUAAAUAAGCCCGUAGAUGUCUUCAAGGCCCGAGCGCGACGAGGAGAGGGUGCCACCGCAGAAGUGCUCACUUGAAAAAUUCUAAACGCGUCAAAAUAACUUUGAUAAACUCGCAAAGACGCCUGGCUCAGGGGAAAGGAAUGGGCCCCGCGCCCCGAGAGCCCACUUCCCGCGCCGCCGCCGGGAGAGCCACCGCGGGGCGGGCGGGGCGCGGGGUCCCCUCUGGCGCCGCUGACUCACCGCGGCCCGCGCCUUAAAAGGGCAGUCGCUUCCGGGGCCGACCCGGCGUUGGGGGGGGGGGGGCUCGUUGUCACCUCCUGUGCCCUCGCUCGGAGUGGCACCCCUUCCACUUCAAGGCUGACCGCUAUGCCUGAUCCUACGUCUUUCAACCCGCCUCUCCCUGGAGGAGGCCGUGGACUCCCACGGCGCCCGCGGUCACCCAUCCUCGAUGAGCCUGGACUCUUCAGCCUGGGCCCCCUCUAAACUUCUACGUGAAUGUCCACGGCUUUCCGGGAGCCGCUCCCUCAGUCCAAGUCCCUUGCAGCUCCUCCACUCAUCGCUGUAAACCGGCCGUGUCAAAGAGCUGGAGUCAUCGCCCCUGCACCCUCCCUAGCUGGUGACCAAGCAGACACCCUCCCUCUCCUUUGAACUCUGUCCCCUCCAGACUCUUGCUUCGUCGUUGGUCACGUGCCCAGGCCUCCUCUGCUCUGACUCUCUCAUCCACCUCUUCCGUCCUGUGAACUCCUGGGUCAAGCCUCCGCCGCACUUGCUUCUCAGCCCCUGUUGGCCUGGCUUCCUGCGUGGGGCCCCUCGCCCACCCAGAGCUGCCGUGGACGUGAUCAGGUAGUGGCACUCGUCGCUGUGGCUGAAGCCAGGUCCCUGCCAAGCCUGUCAGCAGGGGAGGGAGAAGGGAGAGUGAAGGGGGGUCGUGCCAGUGUGUCAAGACCCCACCAGGACAUUGCACACCUGAUGGGAGCUCACACCGGCGAGAACUUGGUCACACUUAGCCCCACUAGCUGCAAGAGAGGCUGGGAAAUGUCGUUUCUAGCAGGGUGGUCCUGUGUCCACCUCUCACAGCUGCCUGCUCCGGCCGAAGUCAUUGCCAUCUGCUCAGACAGAAUGGAAACGAGGAUGUAUUGGGCACUUGCCAUGUGCCAGACAUUGUGAUGGCCAUUUUCCGACGUCAUCCCCUUUCACCUUCACCAGUGUUUUACCUACACUGAGACAGCUGGGCCCAGCUUGGCUGGGCUGCUGCCUCCCGAGUCAUGCUCUGUGGAAGUCCUCCGUCUCAGGGCGCCUCUCUAGGUUAGUUUUUUGCAUGUCUGCCUCCCCCACUGAGUAUGUGCUUAAUAAAUGCUCUACUAAGUGGUGAAUCAGAGUGGGUUCAUUAAAUUAGCUCAUGAAAAUUACAUAAUGUCACCUCACUGGGUUAUGUUGUAGGCUAUUUUUGUUUUUCCUCCUUUGUCCCCUGAGCAGUAAUUAGCUGUCAGUCCCUGCAAGCGCUCAGGCAGAGUGUGGACGCCCACCUCAGGGAGGUUGUAUUGGAUUAGAUGAACCCCAGGACCCCCACAGUCCCAAGGAGCUGUAUUUCACCUCCACCUCAAUCACAACUUUUGGCAAUAAUUUUCAUUCUUCCACUCGGCAAAUCUGUGCUAAGGGCCACCCAGUCCCAGGUCCUCUCAGUGCUGAGCACUCAGUCGUGUACUAAGGAGGCCCCUGCUCUCAGGAACGAGCAUGGGAUGAAAAGACAGAUAGUAAACCCACCAACAAGAAGACAGAUGGCAACUCAGACAGAGAUAAGAGCCAAGAAGAAAAUAAAAGAGGACAAGAUGAGAACCAUAUGCCUGACGACCAGGGAAGGCCUCUCCAAGGAGAUGACAAUUCAAGGGACACCGAAUGAGAGAAGCGACAGCCAUGGACAGCUUUCCCAGCAGAGAGAACAAGCCCCAGUUGGAGUGUCUGAGGUUCCCAGAGCAGCCAGGGUGGCCGGAGCAGAGCAGGCGAGGAGAGAGAUGGGAGAGCCAGGUGGGGGCCAGGUGGCACAGAGACGCACAGACCAGGGGGCGGGGCCUGUUCUAAUGGGACAAUAAGUCACGUCCAGCUAUGAGCCGGGCAGUGAUGCGAUCCUAUUUAGAUUGUUGGACAGUUGUCCCAGCUGUUGUGUAGAAGGUGGAUUUUGUAGAGCUGGAGUGGAAGUGGGCUCCCGAUGGGAACAUUUUUGAAUGGUCCACCAGAGAGCUGACGGAGGCUGUGACCAGGGUGAUAGCAGUGGAGACGAGAAGCGGCAGGUCUGUGUUCUGUGAACAGCCCACAGGUCUUUCUGAAAAUGCUUCUUUUUAGAUAGCUACCACGUCCUCAUCUCCUGGGGCAUUAACACGUAUCAUUACAUCCCCUGGAAUCAAGGGCUCACAACACAGGACCGUGUGGUGGUCAGUGUGACAGCCCCUCUCCCAGGCUUGAAGGCUGCGUCUUGUCUGACUGCAGAUUAUACUCAUGGGUGGGCUCUUCACCUUGGCCUGAAUCCCUCUUUGGGUAGAGGUGAUCAUGGACAGUAGCCCUGCCUCCAUCAAGCUCAGUCCCAUUGGAGAGACAGACAGUGAACAAAGACAAAAAUACAUGUAAAAUGACACCUGUGAGGAGAGGUACACAAUGUCAGGACACACAAGACGGGCUUUGACCCCUAAGAGCAGUCAAAGGAGCCUUUCAGGAAGCACUGCUGGAGCUGACACUGGGAGGAAGGAGUGGGGUGGAGGCAUGUCAGCAGAGUCUGACAUGUGCAAAGGCUCUGGGGCAGGAGGGUCAGUGUUCCUUCCAGGAACCAUUAUUGAGCAGAUAGCAAGGAAGGUUGGAUGGGGACCAGUGUGGGUGUGUGUGUGUCUGUAGCAGAAGAUGGAGGCGUUCCUUUAGGGUCUCUGGUCACCUGUGAGGAUGGGCAAGCAGCUCAGAGGCUUGGAGAGCAGAGAAGGUUGAUAAAGGCAUUUUGAAAACAGCAUUUCCCACACUAUUCCUGGUUUAAGGGAAAGCUCUGUUGCUGAAAAUGCAUAUUUGACCCAGAGAUAGUAAGUUUCAUUUGAAGCCAAUGGAUUGUGAUCCAAGUUCUGAACUCUCUCCACUAGCCUAAAAGCGAUCGUCAUAUAAAAUCAGUCUAGCACUGGGGCCGGCCCCGUGGCCGAGUGGUUAAGUUUGUGCGCUCCACUUCAGCGGCCCAGGUUUUCGCCGGGUCAGAUCCUGGGCGCAGGCCUAGCACUGCUCCUCAAGCCAUGCCGAGGUGGCGUCCCACACAGCACAGCCUACAGCUAGAAUAUACAAGUAUGUACUGGGGGGCCUUGGGAAGGAGGAGGAAAAAAAAAUCAGUCUAGCAUUUAUAAGCCAAGAUGGCACUGACAUUCUUGGGUAGGAUUCCUGAAUUAUCCUACAGAGGGAGAAGAAGAACAGCCCGGUCACUCCAUUUAUCCUGGUGAAAAUUCCAGGGCAGUCCAGAAUUUGCCAAAAGUGCUGAAAGUCGGUUCAAAAGAACUCUUGCAUACCUCCCCGUCCAGGGCCACCGCCUGCUAAACGCUUCCUUAUUAAAAAGAGAAGAUGUCUCUUCAGGCCGAUGAGAAUGAACUACUCGCUAGAAUACAGACGACACCCCCUAAUAUUUUUUUCACUAUUAACUUGGAGCACCUGGAAGGAAGGAAGGCCAACCUCCCACCAUGUCUGCCCUGCUUUUUAAGUGAGUUCACUGGGGAGAAACUGUCGCAUUGCAAAACUUGAGAAAUGCCUGCCAAUCCAAAAAGUUUCUGUAACAGGAACCAAUACGCAUGUAAAAGAAAAAUCAAAAAACUAGAAGGAGGAAGGUGCUUAAACACAUAUGCUUUAAAAUGAAAAUAAUUUUUUUUAAUAAAAAGAUAGCUUGGACCUGAUUUAAAAGAGAAAAAAAUUACAGGCAGUCAGGGAACAAAAAUUAAGAUUUGUUUCCUACAAACCCUAAGACCAUGUAUGCUGGAGGAGAAUGUGUGUGUGUGCGUGUGUGUGGGGGGGGGUUGCAUUAGCGCUCAGUUUCAGAAGUGUCAGAGUGUUCAUACAUAAUGAUACCCCAGGCCGUCCAACCCUCGGAACUUCUCCCAAGGAAAUACUUUGAAUGAAAAAAACCAGUUGUGUGCACAAGAUGCUUAUUGCUUCGUUAUUUGCAAUAUUUUAAAGAAGUUAGACUUUAUUCUGGAGAGAAUGGGAGCAGAGUGUUAUAUGUGAGUCAGAUGGUCCGGGGCGUUUACAGUCAGUGCCGGUGUGGCGGAAGGGUUAAAGGAGAGGAGGACAACAGGUGAGGCGCUGGUGAGUUGUUCUAGAUAAGGGGUGGGGAGGGCCUGACUAAGGCCGUAAACUCCAGCUUAGUGAGGAGAGCCUAGUCAAAGGGAUGUUUAAAGGAUCAUUUAAAUGUGCAUAAGGAGAGAGAAGGAAGAAUCUAGACGGACACUCAGUUUGAGUGGAUGUUGGUGUAGCCAAAGAAGAUGGAGAACACAGGGGAGAUGGUAAAGAGUUCAUCACAGUUCUCUGAACAUGCUUCAGCCCUUCUACAUGAACAUAGCAUCGCUGAUCCUUGUUCUACGGACCACCUGCUAUGAACUGUUUGUCCAGGACGGCUAUGACCAAAAAUACUGAGGGUUGGUGGGGAUGUGAAGAGAUUGGAAUCCACCUCCCUUGCUGCUGGGAACCUAAACUGGUGCAGUUGUUUUGGAAAACAGUCUGGCAAUUCCUCGAAGAUUAAAUAUGGUGUCGCCAUGAGACCCAACGAUUCCAUUGCUAGGUGUGUACCCAGAGAAAUGAAAGUGUAUGUCCACACAAAAACAUGUACACCAUUUCACAGAAGCAUCACUCGUAACCGGCAAAAAGUGGAAACAACACCAACGUCCAUCGACUGAAGCAUGGACAGAGGAAAUGUGGCCCAUCCGUACAAUGGAAUGUCAUUUACCAUAAACAGGAGUGAAGUACUGAUGGAUGCUACAACCCGGAUGAAUUUUGAAACAUUAUAUUAAGUGAAAGAAGCCAGACAUAAAAGACCUCGUGUUCGCUAAUUCAAUUUAUACGAAAUGUCCAGAGCAGGCAAAUUCAUAGAAACAACAAGCAGAUUAGCGGUGCCUAGGGUUGGGGUGGGAAUGGUUUGGAGGUAAAUAUGGGGUGACUGCGAAUGGGUAUGAGGUUUCUUUUUGGGAUGAUAAAAAUGUUCUAAAAUUGAUUGUGGUGAUAGUUGCACAACUCUAUGAAUAUACUAAAAUCCAUUGAAUUUAAACGGGUGGAUUAAAUGACAUGUGAAUUACACCUUAAGGAAAUUGUUUAAAUAAUCUAUUUAUGUGUAGAGAGGCACAGAAAAAACUUUGCAAAGUAUUUUUUAUUGCAUUCAUAAUAGUUUAUAACAUUGUGAAAUUUCAGUUGUACCUUAUUAUUUGUCAGUCACCAUGUAAGUGCACCCCUUCACCCCUUGUGCCCAUCCCCCAACUCCUUUCCCCUUGGUAACCACUAAACUGUUCUCUUUGUCCGUGUGUUUGUUUAACUCCCACAUAUGUGUGCAAUCAUAUGGUGUUUGUCUUUCUCUGUCUGGCUUAUGUCACUUAACAUAAUACCCUCAAGGUCCAUGCAUGUUAUUGCAAAUGGGACAAUUUUGUCAUUUUUUAUGGCUGAGUAGUAUUCCGUUGUGUAUAUAUACCACAUCUCCUUUAUCCAAUCAUCAGUCGAUGGGCACUCGGGUUGUUUCCAUGUCUUGGCUAUUGUGAAUAAUGCUGCAUAAGCCUCUUUGAAUUGUUGAUUUCAAGUUCUUUGGAUAAAUACCAGUAGUGGGAUAGCUGGGUCAUAUGGUAUUUCUCUUCCUAAUUUUUUGAGGAAUCUCCAUACUGUUUUCCAUAGUGGCUGGAGCAGUUUGCAUUCCCACCAGCAGUGUA
ensembl:lncRNA